GAUGAAGAACGUAGCGAAAUGCGACAAGUAAUGUGAAUUGCAGAAGUACCGUGAAUCAUCGAAUCUUUGAACGCAAAUUGCACUCUCUGGUAUUCCGGGGAGUAUGCCUGUUUGAGGGUCGCUUAACAAACCAUCGAUUUCGUUGCUUUUUUUUUUAAAGUGAUGUUUAUCGGAUUUGAGCCGUCUUUUUUUUUAUAUUUAAGUGGCUUAAAAUUGAUUUUUUUGGUACGAUCGAAGCGUAUUUUUAUGAUCAAUUUUUGGUUAAAGAAACGCACACGUACCGUUAUUUAUAUGAUGUAAUACGUUUGACUAUUGGAUUUAGUUCAUUCGUAUACGAUAUCUUUCAAUAUUUGACCUCAAAUCAGGUAAGAACACCCGCUGAACUUAAGCAUAUCAAUAAGCGGAGGA
rnacentral:misc_RNA from 1 species